rnacentral:rRNA from 1 species
GUCCACGCCGUAAACGAUGGGUGCUAGGUGUGGGGGGUGUCGACUCCCUCCGUGCCGAAGCUAACGCAUUAAGCACCCCGCCUGGGGAGUACGGCCGCAAGGCUAAAACUCAAAGGAAUUGACGGGGGCCCGCACAAGCAGCGGAGCAUGUGGUUUAAUUCGACGCAACGCGAAGAACCUUACCAAGGCUUGACAUGUAAUUGAAAAACCUGGAAACAGGUUCCCUCUUCGGAGCAAUUACACAGGUGGUGCAUGGCUGUCGU